rnacentral:rRNA from 1 species
GAUGAACGCUGGCGGCGUGCCUAACACAUGCAAGUCGAACGGAAAGGCGCUGCUUUUGUGUGUUUCUCGAGUGGGGAACGGGUGAGUAACACGUGUGUAACCUGCCCCUGACUGUGGGGGAACAUCUGGAAAAAGCGGCUAAUACCGCAUAGUAGCUUCUGAAGCACGGGGGGGGUUGGAAAGGUUCGGCGGUUCGGGAUCGACUCGCGGCUUACCGGCUUGAUUGGGGGGUAGUGGCUUACAAAGGUUUUGACGGCUAGCCGGCCUGGGAGGGUGACCAGCGACAUUGGGCCUGAGGUACGGCCCAGUCUGCUACGGGGGGCAACGGGGGGGAAUCUUGCACAGUGGGCGGAAGCGUGAUGCAGCAGCGCCGCGUGCGGGAUGACGGCCUUCGGGGUGUGAACCGCUUUCGCCUGUGACGAGGCGUGAGUGACGGUAAUGGGUAAAAAAGCACCGGCUAACUCCGUG